AGCAGGUACUGCCACAAAUCAGCAGUUUCUUGCAGCAACUAAUGCUGUUCCUUUCUGGGAGAGAAAAUGACAGCAUUGUGAAGCACUAGUAGCAGAAGAGAUGAAUCUCAGGACUGCAACAGACUUUCCCAUGGGACACAUGCAGCCCAAUCAGCGCACAGCCGCAGCCUAUGUGACAUCCUCAGGAUUACACAGAGCUGAAGCCAACUCUGUCUAAGAUGUUGAAAAAUUGGAGAGGAUGCUGAGAAGAACAACAAAUUAUUUGAGGACUGGAAAAAUGCCUUUCCGCGAGAGACUUAAGGAACUCAACUUUUUAGUUUAGCAAAAAGAUUCAGAGGUGACUUGAUUACUUCAUGGAGAGAAAAUAGGUAUUAAAGGUAUGAUAGCGCUAACAUAGGUAGUAAAAGGAUCUUGAGUCCAGUGGAGAAAUGCAUCAUAAAAACCAAUGGCUGGAUGUAAAAAACAGAUACAUUCAAAUCAGAAAUAAGGCACAAAUUUUUAACAAUGAGGGUGAUUAACUAUUGAGAGAAACUACCAAGGAAAGUCUUAGAUCGAGAUUGGAUGCUUUUCUGGAAGAUAUGCUUUAGUCAAAAACAAGUUAUUGGUCUCAACGCCGGGGUAACUGAAUGAAAUUUUUUGGCCUGUGUUAUACAGGAGGUCAGACUAGACAACCUAAUGGUCCCUUCUAUCCUUAAAAAUCUAUGAGUUUUUCACAUCCCCACCUAUAGUUCCAGUGGUAAAGUCCUUCCUGAAGCUUCACUCAUGCAGACUUGACUCCCAUUGACUUUAAUAGGACUUUUAACUUAGCAAAAGGAAAGAUUGUCUAGUU